CGGCGUGCUUAACACAUGCAAGUCGAACGAGACGAUUUAGAAGCUUGCUUUUAUUGAGUCGAGUGGCAAACGGGUGAGUAACGCGUAGACAACCUGCCGCAAAGAUGGGGACAACAGUCCGAAAGGACUGCUAAUACCGAAUGUUGUAUCUCCUCCGCAUGGAAGAGAUAUUAAAGAUGGCCUCUACUUGUAAGCUAUCGCUUUGCGAUGGGUCUGCGUCUGAUUAGCUAGUUGGUGGGGCAACGGCCUACCAAGGCGACGAUCAGUAGCCGGUCUGAGAGGAUGAACGGCCACAUUGGAACUGAGGACACGGUCCAGACUCCUACGGGAGGCAGCAGUGGGGAAUCUUCCGCAAUGGGCGAAAGCCUGACGGAGCAACGCCGCGUGAGUGAAGAAGGUCUUCGGAUCGUAAAGCUCUGUUGUCGGGGACGAAUGUUGAGGCCUAGAAUAUAGGUUUCAAAUGACGGUACCUGACGAGGAAGCCACGGCUAACUACGUG
rnacentral:rRNA from 1 species